GACGAACGCUGGCGGCGUGCCUAAUACAUGCAAGUCGAACGAGUGGCGGACGGGUGCGUAACACGUGGGAACCUACCCAUCAGAGGGGGAUAACUACUGGAAACGGUCGCUAAUACCGCAUACUAUCCGAUGUGCCCAGAGGGGAAUAGCUAGUUGGUGGGGUAACGGCUCACCAAGGCGACGAUCCCUAGCUGGUCUGAAAGGAUGACCAGCCACACUGGAACUGAGACACGGUCCAGACUCCUACGGGAGGCAGCAGUGGGGAAUAUUGCACAAUGGGCGCAAGCCUGAUGCAGCCAUGCCGCGUGUAUGAAGAAGGCCUUCGGGUUGUAAAGUACUUUCAGCGGGGAGGCGUUACCCGCAGAAGAAGCACCGGCUAACUCCGUGCCAGCAGCCGCGGUAAUAC
rnacentral:rRNA from 1 species